UCGAAAUUAAACUGCAUGAUUAUUACUGGAAUCUGUAUAAGAAAAGUGUCAAACUCUUCUUUUACAACGUGUAAUAGUACUAUUAUAUAUAAGUGCAUGAAUAAAAUUAGGUGAUCACAAUUUCUUGACUAACAAAUAUGAUAAAAAAAAAAAAAACAUAUCCAAAGUUACCAAGAUUAUAUAAUAAAAUGGGAAAAGGCAAAAGAAUAAGUU
rnacentral:lncRNA from 1 species